GCUAUUCCUUGGCAAGUGCUUAUGGAGCACUUUUGCUGAUCAAGAACUUCCAGGAAGACCAGGCUGCCCAGCUGCUGAGUUCAGAAGCUAGAGAUACUCUCCAGCAAUGGCACAAGAGGAGGACAACUAACAGAACAAUGCCUUCAGUUGAUGAUUUUCAGCAACUGAACUUCAGCCAAGCUGCCUGUACAGCUGGAUGCCGUGCUGCAUGCUGGAAGAUGCAGGGGAGCACGGGAAGAGCUGGCACCAGGUGUGUCCAGGGCUGCUCCUUUGUUGACUCUUUGAAAGAGAGCCUCAAAUCAGUAAGGUCGCUCCACUUCCAGGCUAGGCUUGGCACAAAUUCAAGCACUUUGCUGCCUGCCCAGAAUGCCAGUUUUCCAUCUCCUUUCUCCACAUCUGCAGUCCUGAAACGAAGCACCUUCCCUACAAGGAAUGUGUAACAGCUUCAGCUCAACUCAUCUUUCCCACAUUGAACCAGGAUGUGGUCGCUACAUGUCUGUGGUGCUGUCUCACAGCCUUACCACCAGCUCUUGGGUCCUGGAAAGGCCUUCAUCCUCCCUCCCUCAAAAGGAUGGAAAAGCAAAAAAUCCGGUAUUUUGAUGAUGAUGAAAUACAACUUGCUGAUACUGCAUAAAGAAUCUUGAUACUUACUAUAUGAGUUACAGGCAUUUGCACAAACCUCAGCCUCUCCUUGAAGCAAUCCUGUCCAUCUAGAAGCAUCGAAAAACAGGUCUUCUGUGUGUUAGCUACGUUAGAAAUUGAAACUGUAGUGUGCUUUGCCUUAUUUAGAGCUGAUUUGAUUUUUUUUAUUUAUUUUUUCUUCACACCGGCUAACAAAAAUGGAUUAGUUCUGCUCAGUCCUAAUGGUUUAAAAGCUGUUGCAAAGUUCCAGUGUUUCAGUCUGCAAGCUAUCAAAAGUUUAUUAAAAACCCAGAGUGCUCUUUGGAACUGAAGUCAUAUGAGCAUUCUUCUCAGUCUUAGCUUUUAACAGCUUGUUCUUAGGAAACGUGAAUUUUUGCCAUUGUGAUUUAGCAUGCUUAAUUUAUUCAGCGUACAAAAAUAAGUAUCAGCUCAGUAAAUAAACAGGUCUUUCUUACUGUCA